rnacentral:tRNA from 1 species
CAGGGAGACAACAAAAUGUUUAAUAUUAUUAUUUUGUCACCUUAGGUCGAUCGGUAUCUCACGUUCUUAAUUUAUUAAGAAUUUCAUUUCCUAAGUUUUUCUAGGUCACACCCAUUAUUUUUCCUGGGCCAUUAGCUCAGGUGGUUAGAGCGCACCCCUGAUAAGGGUGAGGUCCCUGGUUCAAGUCCAGGAUGGCCCAUAUCUCUAUGUUGGGGGUAUAGCUCAGUUGGUAGAGCGCCUGCUUUGCAAGCAGGAUGUCAGCGGUUCGAGUCCGCUUACCUCCACUGAUUACCACCUCUUCCAUAAUCUGUAGAAAGGAAAUUUCUUGAGUUGUGAUCAUAAUUCUGAACGAAUCUAGCUUCCUAAUGAAAUCAUUAAGAUGCUGGACUCAUUGAAUUAAAUUCAUUGUUUUCAGGGAACCUUGACAACUGCAUAGAUUAUUUUUAAAGACAAUAAGCAUUUUUAAUAAUGCAGAUUUAUUAUUUGUGCAAAUGCAUUAAUAACAAUUCUAUUAAGCUGAUGCUUCAAUUUUGAAGUUAUU